UAAACUGCCAAGUUUGUUACUUUGGGCUCUUUUUCUCUCGUCAAGGUUUUAGAAGCUUCUUGGGGGAAUUUUUGAAGUGUACUCGUUUCUUUUACAAUAUUCUGCGUGUUACCUUUGUCCUGCGUUUUCUUGGUCCAUGCUCAUGGUUUUUUUAAUAGAAAAUCUAACGAAAUAUAUCCUUCAGAACUUUUUCUGUUUUCUCAGGUGAACACUAAGACUUGUGACAUUGUUGCAACAGGCAUACAAUUUGGAUUUCUGGGUUGCACGAGUACUGUUUCUACCUUCAUUGCUGAGUUCAAUGAGAUGAGAGAGAGCAAAUAUCCUCGGAGAGCAUACGCAUACGCCAUGGCUACGAUAUGCACCUCGUUUGGUUUGGGGUUCAUGAUAUAUUGUGUACCUGUUUGAACAAAGGGAUACAAGUAGUUGCAUGCUCAGGCCAUUGUUUUGAAGUCUAAUCUGUGGCUAUACCUUGAGAUUUUAUUCACCCUCACUGGCUUCAAUCUGACCGAAGGACAGGGCACCCUUCUGCCUCUUGAGUGUGUCACAGAAUCUUGCGGGACAUACUUACACGAAAUAUUUUUCUUGUAUCCGUCUCUGCCCUCAGGCGUUGUGACAGAUGCAUGGGGGUAUGCACCUGGUUUCAUGUUAGUUUCUGUCAUCUCGCAGAAGUAUCUCCAGAUCGGGCUGCAACCAAUGCUAGCUUGGACACCGCCAAGUUCUUAUUGUACAACAGGUUAGUUCUUUCUUGAUGGGGUGGUUGGGAACCGGUUACUUAGGAAGCCUUACAUCUUUCAACGGUUCGAACCAGAAAUGCUUGAACCAGAAAAUGCUUGAACUCAGUGUUGAAGGCCUUUGGGUGUUUGAUCUGCUCUGUUUUUUAAUAGGGACUUCCCAAGAGGUCACCCAUUCUAGUACUACUCUUACCCAAACUCGCUUAACUUCGGAGUUCUGAUGGCAUUUGGUGUAUAUGAGUUGGUAUGAUUGCAUUCAUUAGUUUA